UACUUAGUGGCAGACGGGUGAGUAACAUGUGGGUAUCUACCCUUUGGCCUGGAAUAACACGAGGAAACUUGUGCUAAUACCGGAUAAGUCUUUACGGAGAAAGCUUUAUGCACCAUUGGAUGAGCCCGCACUUGAUUAGUUUGUUGGUAGGGUAAUGGCCUACCAAGACUAUGAUCAAUAGCUGAUUUGAGAGGAUGAUCAGCCACAUUGGGACUGAGACACAGCCCAAACUCCUACGGGAGGCAGCAGUGGGGAAUCUUGCACAAUGGAGGAAACUCUGAUGCAGCGAUGCCGCGUGAGUGAAGAAGGCCUUUGGGUUGUAAAGCUCUUUCGUCGGGGAAGAAAAUGACUGUACCCGAAUAAGAAGGUCCGGCUAACUUCGUGCCAGCAGCCGCGGUAAUACGAAGGGACCUAGCGUAGUUCGGAAUUACUGGGCUUAAAGAGUUCGUAGGUGGUUGAAAAA
rnacentral:rRNA from 1 species